GAUGAACGCUAGCGACAGGCCUAACACAUGCAAGUCGAGGGGCAGCAUAAAGGUAGCAAUACUUUGGUGGCGACCGGCGCACGGGUGAGUAACACGUAUGCAACCUACCUGUAAGAGGGGAAUAACCCGGAGAAAUUCGGACUAAUACCGCAUAAUACUGAUUAUCUGCAUGGAUUGAUCAGUUAAACAUUUAUGGCUUACAGAUGGGCAUGCGUAUGAUUAGAUAGUUGGUAGGGUAACGGCCUACCAAGUCAACGAUCAUUAGGGGUUCUGAGAGGAAGGUCCCCCACACUGGUACUGAGACACAGACCAGACUCCUACGGGAGGCAGCAGUGAGGAAUAUUGGUCAAUGGGCGAGAGCCUGAACCAGCCAAGUCGCGUGAAGGAAGAAGGUUCUAUGGAUUGUAAACUUCUUUUGUAAGGGAAUAAAAAGAGUUACGUGUAACUCAUUGUAUGUACUUUACGAAUAAGGAUCGGCUAACUCCGUGCCAGCAGCCGCGGUAAGAC
rnacentral:rRNA from 1 species